CGGGGUGUGGCACAGUUUGGUAGUGCGCUUGGUUCGGGACCAAGAGGUCGUGGGUUCGAAUCCCGUCACUCCGACCA
rnacentral:tRNA from 1 species